CGGGGUAUGGCUCAGCUUGGUAGAGCGCUUGGUUUGGGACCAAGAGGCCGGGGGUUCGAAUCCCUCUGCCCCGACCA
rnacentral:tRNA from 1 species